AUACAGAGGGGACAAGCGUUAUUCGGAAUCACUGGGCGUAAAGGACGCGUAGGCGGGUUAUUAAGUCUGGUGUGAAAUCCAAUGGCUCAACCAUUGAACUGCAUUCGAAACUGAUAACCUAGAGUAUGGAAGGGGCAGGUGGAAUUAGUGGUGUAGGGGUAAAAUCCGUAGAUAUCACUAGGAAUACCGAAAGCGAAGGCGACCUGCUGGGACAUUACUGACGCUGAGGCGUGAAAGCGUGGGGAGCAAACAGGAUUAGAAACCCCAGUAGUCC
rnacentral:rRNA from 1 species